UGGACAAUGGGCGCAAGCCUGAUCCAGCCAUGCCGCGUGAGUGAAGAAGGCCUUCGGGUUGUAAAGCUCUUUCGGACGGGAAGAAAUGGCGGGCUCUAACAUAGCCUGUCGAUGACGGUACCGUAAGAAGAAGCACCGGCUAACUACGUGCCAGCAGCCGCGGUAAGACGAAGGAUGCAAGCGUUAUCCGGAUUCAUAAGGUUUAAAGGGUGCGUAGGCGGGCUUGUAAGUCAGUGGUGAAAUCUCUCAGCUUAACUGAGAAACUGCCAUUGAUACUGCAGGCCUAGAGUAGAGAUGACGUUGUCGGAAUAUUACAUGUAGUGGUGAAAUACUUAGAUAUUGCAUAGAACACCGAUUGCGACGGCAGCUUACGAAACUAUAACUGACGCUGAGGCACGAAAGUGCGUGGAUCAAACA
rnacentral:rRNA from 1 species